rnacentral:rRNA from 1 species
GACGAACGCUGGCGGCGUGCCUAAUACAUGCAAGUCGAGCGAACCAAUAAGAAGCUUGCUUUUUGUUGGUUAGCGGCGGACGGGUGAGUAACACGUGGGUAACCUGCCUGUAAGACCGGGAUAACUCCGGGAAACCGGUGCUAAUACCGGAUAGAUUAUCUUUCCGCAUGGAGAGAUAAGGAAAGAUGGCUAUUGCCAUCACUUACAGAUGGGCCCGCGGCGCAUUAGCUAGUUGGUGAGGUAACGGCUCACCAAGGCGACGAUGCGUAGCCGACCUGAGAGGGUGAUCGGCCACACUGGGACUGAGACACGGCCCAGACUCCUACGGGAGGCAGCAGUAGGGAAUCUUCCGCAAUGGACGAAAGUCUGACGGAGCAACGCCGCGUGAGCGAAGAAGGUCUUCGGAUCGUAAAGCUCUGUUGUUAGGAAAGAACAAGUAUCGGAGGAAAUGCCGGUACCUUGACGGUACCUGACGAGAAAGCCACGGCUAACUACGUG